rnacentral:lncRNA from 1 species
GUAACGGCCCCGGAAAUAUUAAAAAGAAAUAAGUAUUUAAAUAUAUCGAAUGCGGAAGCGAGAUCAAAAUUUUAGUUAACAUCCCUUACACGAAAAACCAAAAAACGUACUUAAAAUAUAAAAGAUUAAACUAACUAAGAAAGAAACUCGAAAAUAAAACUAUGCGUAUGACUACAGAGUCUCUAGGCAUCCCCUUCGUCGUCCUCCUGCGGAACGGGCUCGGGAACCAUGUCUUCCUGAUCUGAAAUGGUUAAUUAAGGAGUGAGCUACACUAGCCCAGUAAGAACAUCACGAUAUCUCACCGUCACGGAGAUAAAGGUGGGUAGAAAAACACAAAAAAGACCAAUGGAGCAUAAUUUACAACAAACUCGUUUAUUAACAUGAAAACCUUUACCAUCCACUUACCUUGGUGGAAUUUAUGAAAACUAUAUAAGAAAAACAAUAACAUUAUCAUAAUCAUUGAAUAAUAUAAGCUGUAAAACAUAACACUUAUCACGCCUCUUGUAAUUCAAUCAUUGUACAACAUAUCUUUUUCUCAUUUACCAGCCUACUAGUAUCCGUGGGGGUCCAUAGGGGUUCCGCUACCCGUUAACCUUUAACAUUCAUAAUCAGUUUCCAGGGCCGUCCCCAUACCCCGUCCGGUAUGGGCGCCAAAACCAUGAACCUCAAUACCCCGUCCGGUAUGAGGGUGAAACGGGCCGUCCCCAUACCCCGUCCGGUAUGGGCGCCAAAACCAUAAACCUCAAUACCCCGUCCGGUAUGAGGGUGAAACGGGCCGUCCCCAUACCCCGUCCGGUAUGGGUGCCAAAACCAUAAGAUCUCCAUACCCCGUCCGGCAUGUGAGACCACAAUCCCGGUAGGGUUCCCUACGGACCCGGUCCGUCCACCAUCUCCCAAGAUAUCUAGUCAGGCUGACCCCCAUAAUACAAUUAUCAGUCUACACAACCUUUCAUUUUCCUUUUCCUCAAUCAGUAUCAUCAAUUCACAUACAAACAAGCAAACAGUAAUUCAUGCCGAACAUACAACAUACAGUAUCAGUUUUUCAGUCAUUCAACCCAUGAUUAAUAAAAACGUAGUAAAUGCGCACAAAUCUGUAAAAUAAACACAUCAAACCUCAUUUUGCAUUUAAAGCUGUAAACAGGCCAAAUAACAGUAAAUCACCAAUCACACUAGACUCGGGCUCCAUUAGCCACCUUAAGCAAUUUCACACAUUCGUUAAUUCAAGAAAUACCGUUUUAUCAUUUUGAACUUUUAAUACCGUGAUAGGAAAUAGGGUGAGGGGUCCUUACUUGUUUUCGGGAUCCGAAUACGAUUCACAGUGCGCCUGCAGGCCGUCCCUAAUUUUCCCUGAAUUUUUCCCGGGAAACUGAAACACACUAACCGUACCUGCACGUGUUCCAAAAAAAAUCCAAAUUAGGCCCAGGGCCUCUUUCGGCCCAAAUCGCAACUCCGGCAAGGCGGCUCCGCCGUGCUCCGGCGACGGCGCCGCCGCUGGCGGCGGCGAGUCGCCUCGGGUUGGCUGUUUUCGGCCGUUUUCGGUCGAAUUCGGCCACACUCGCAUUGGUCCUUGUCAGAAAACAACCUUAGGGCCCUCGGGGGGCAAAAAAAUCACGGAAAAACGGAGCUUACCGGCGGCGGCGCUCUCGGGUGCGGCGGCUCUCCGGCGAGGUUCGUGUUUUGGUGAUUCGACUCCGGUCAACCUGUAGAGAAAAGAAUGGUGAUCACGGUGAUAUAAAAAUUGCAUCGAACGGAGGCCGGGAAGGGCCUCGUCGGAGGCAAAAAUCGAGAGGGGGCGCGGCGGCGCUGCUGGGCUUCGGCCGCGUAUUCCGGCCGUUUGGCCGGGAUUUCGGCUUCGAUUU